rnacentral:rRNA from 1 species
AUACAUAAUUAAUUACAUAUCAUAAGCCCAAUCCUGUCUGAUCUCAGAAGCUAAGCAGGGUCGGGCCUGGUUAGUACUUGGAUGGGAGACCACCUAGGAAGACCAGGUGCUGUAGGUG